CACCGUUUUUGAUGAGGUAGCCCAGCACCAGUACAACGCAUUAGUCAGGAAAGGCAACUCAGUGAUCCCUUCAGCUCCAAUGAUGAACUUUGUGCAUGCCCAGAUCAAAAAAGCAGCUGAUGAGACCGAGACUAUUCUGGAAACAACCCCGGCUGGCAAAAGCGAUGGGGAAGGUGCACUUCGAGCAUUCAUUAAGGGCCAAAAGUUAAGGCGGCUAUCAAACCUUUUCGGUUGUCGUGACCCCGAGUAUGUAUCACCAGAACGGUCUAGGUCGGUGACACCAUCAGAUCCCGCUUUGGGGUAGGGCCAUGAUGAACCUUUCGAGGAUGAGGAUGUGGGUGUG